UCCGUAGGUGAACCUGCGGAAGGAUCAUUACUGUGAUUUAUCCACCACACUGCGUGGGCGACACGAAACACCGAAACCGAACGCACGCCGUCAAGCAAGAAAUCCACAAAACUUUCAACAACGGAUCUCUUGGUUCUCGCAUCGAUGAAGAACGCAGC
rnacentral:rRNA from 1 species